GGCAGUGUGGUGUAGUGGUUUGAAUGUGCCUCUGGGAGACCAGGGUUCAAAUCCCUGCUCGGUCA